AUUGAACGCUGGCGGCAUGCUUUACACAUGCAAGUCGAACGGUAACAGGUCAAGCUGACGAGUGGCGAACGGGUGAGUAAUGCAUCGGAACGUGCCCGGUCGUGGGGGAUAACGCAGCGAAAGCUGCGCUAAUACCGCAUACGAUCUGAGGAUGAAAGCGGGGGACCGUAAGGCCUCGCGCGAUCGGAGCGGCCGAUGUCAGAUUAGGUAGUUGGUGGGGUAAAGGCUCACCAAGCCAACGAUCUGUAGCUGGUCUGAGAGGACGACCAGCCACACUGGGACUGAGACACGACCCAGACUCCUACGGGAGGCAGCAGUGGGGAAUUUUGGACAAUGGGCGAAAGCCUGAUCCAGCAAUGCCGCGUGCAGGAAGAAGGCCUUCGGGUUGUAAACUGCUUUUGUACGGAGCGAAAAGGUCUCCUCUAAUACAGGGGGCUCAUGACGGUACCGUAAGAAUAAGCACCGGCUAACUACGUGCCAGCCGCCGCGGUAA
rnacentral:rRNA from 1 species